rnacentral:misc_RNA from 1 species
GAUGAAGAACGUAGCGAAAUGCGAUAAGUAAUGCGAAUUGCAGAAUUCAGUGAAUCAUCGAGUCUUUGAACGCACAUUGCGCCCCCUGGUAUUCCGGGGGGCAUGCCUGUCCGAGCGUCAUUGCUGCCCUCAAGCACGGCUUGUGUGUUGGGCCCCGUCCUCCGAUCCCGGGGGACGGGCCCGAAAGGCAGCGGCGGCACCGCGUCCGGUCCUCGAGCGUAUGGGGCUUUGUCACCCGCUCUGUAGGCCCGGCCGGCGCUUGCCGAUCAACCCAAAUUUUUUAUCCAGGUUGACCUCGGAUCAGGUAGGGAUACCCGCUGAACUUAAGCAUAUCAAUAAGCGGAGGA